rnacentral:rRNA from 1 species
CGUGCAGGCGGUUCGGUAAGUUGGACGUGAAAGCUCCCGGCUCAACCGGGAGAGGUCGUUCAAUACUGUCGGACUUGAGGAUGGUAGAGGGAGGUGGAAUUCCGGGUGUAGUGGUGAAAUGCGCAGAUAUCCGGAGGAACACCAGUGGCGAAAGCGGCCUCCUGGACCAUUCCUGACGCUCAGACGCGAAAGCUAGGGUAGCGAACG